CUGGUGUUCGGGUUGUCAUGCCAAUGGCAUUGCCCGGUAGCUAAGUGCGGAAGAGAUAACCGCUGAAAGCAUCUAAGCGGGAAACUUGCCUCGAGAUGAGUCUUCCCUGUCACUUUAAGUGACCUAAAGGAACGUUUAAGACUAAGACGUUGAUAGGCUGGGUGUGUAAGCGUAGCGAUACGUUGAGCUAACCAGUACUAAUGAACCGUGAGGCUUAACCUGACAACACCGAAAGUGUUUUG
rnacentral:rRNA from 1 species